UACGUAGGGCGCGAGCGUUGUCCGGAUUUAUUGGGCGUAAAGAGCUCGUAGGCGGCUUGUCGCGUCGUCCGUGAAAACCAGGGGCUCAACCCCUGGCUUGCGGUCGAUACGGGCAGGCUAGAGUUCGGUAGGGGAGACUGGAAUUCCUGGUGUAGCGGUGAAAUGCGCAGAUAUCAGGAGGAACACCGGUGGCGAAGGCGGGUCUCUGGGCCGAUACUGACGCUGAGGAGCGAAAGCGUGGGGAGCGAACAGG
rnacentral:rRNA from 1 species